rnacentral:sRNA from 1 species
AUUAAAUAUGUAUGAUGUAUCCUACUAUAUUAUUUGGGAAGUACAUUUUAAAUGUAACCUUAAUUUUUGUAAUUAAUUACAUGACAAUGCCAUUAGAAAAAUUUAAUCAAAAACAAAAUCUUUUAAUAACACAUUAAGAUUACCAAAAUCAUUUAACGACAAUAUUCAUCUCUUAAUUAUAGGCUUAUUGGAUUUAAAGACGGGUCAUCAAAGAUUUUCUAACUAAAGCAAAAUAUACUGAAUAUUCAAAUAUCUAUCUAUUACCAAAUUAUAAACAAUUAAGUUCGUAAAACAAUUUAAUAUUUUAUAUACGAAAUAAAGUAAAUCUUAAUCACAUAAAAAUUAGCACAAAAAAAAAUAUGGUACAUUCAGGUCUAUAGUAUUUUUGCAAGACUUUUUUGGUGGAUUUGGGUAAAAGUGCAUUCGGGUCAUAUGGUACAUUCACCUAUUAAAUAAAUAUGGUAUACUCCUAUGUUAUUAGCUAAAAUGUUUAGAUUAUAAUUCAGAGUCAUAUCAUAAAUAAAAUUACUAUUAAUAAAAUAAAUGGCUUUUUGGCAAGACGGAUUUGGAGGGACGGGUUUUUGAAUCAACAUUAAUAAAAAAAGUAAAAUAUAAUUAAUCCACCAUUUCAAUACGGGUUAAAUCUUUAAUUUAUUAUUUUUUAAGACCACUAAUAUUAAACAUAUCAAAUCAUCCUAAUUUAGAAAAAAUUAUAUAAAACCAAAAAUGUUAUGUGGUAUGUAUAAUGUUACUAUAUAUAAACUUAAACUAUAAAAUAUAAAUGUAUUAGAGAAUGAUACAAUUUGCAAAACUUUUAUAUAGAAUAAA